rnacentral:rRNA from 1 species
AUUGAACGCUGGCGGCAGGCCUAACACAUGCAAGUCGAGCGGAUGAAGGGAGCUUGCUCCUGGAUUCAGCGGCGGACGGGUGAGUAAUGCCUAGGAAUCUGCCUGGUAGUGGGGGAUAACGUCCGGAAACGGGCGCUAAUACCGCAUACGUCCUGAGGGAGAAAGUGGGGGAUCUUCGGACCUCACGCUAUCAGAUGAGCCUAGGUCGGAUUAGCUAGUUGGUGGGGUAAAGGCCUACCAAGGCGACGAUCCGUAACUGGUCUGAGAGGAUGACCAGUCACACUGGAACUGAGACACGGUCCAGACUCCUACGGGAGGCAGCAGUGGGGAAUAUUGGACAAUGGGCGAAAGCCUGAUCCAGCCAUGCCGCGUGUGUGAAGAAGGUCUUCGGAUUGUAAAGCACUUUAAGUUGGGAGGAAGGGCAGUAAGUUAAUACCUUGCUGUUUUGACGAUACCAACAGAAUAAGCACCGGCUAACUUCGUG